rfam:Myotis davidii contig209427, whole genome shotgun sequence.
GGCUGGGUAGCUCAGUUGGUUAGAGUGUUGUCCUGAUAUGUCAAGGUUGUGGGUUUGAUACCCAGUCGGGUCA